CUACGGGAUGCUCCAGUGAGGAAUAUUGCACAAUGGGCGAAAGCCUGAUGCAGCAAUGCCGCGUGCAGGAAGACGGCCUUCGGGUUGUAAACUGCCUUUAUUUGUGAAGAUUAUGACGGUAACAAAUGAAUAAGAACUUGCUAACUACGUGCCAGCAGCAGCGGUAAUACGUAGAGUUCGAGCGUUAUCCGGAUUUAUUGGGCGUAAAGCGCUUGUAGGCGGAUUGGUAAGUCGAACGUUAAAGAUCUUGGCUCAACCAAGAAAAAGUGUUCGAAACUACCUCUCUAGAGGUCGGAAGAGGCAGACGGAAUUCUCGGUGUAGGGGUAAUAUCCGUAGAUAUCGAGAAGAACACCAAAGGCGAAGGCAGUCUGCUGGUCCGCACCUGACGCUCAGAAGCGAAAGCGUGGGGAGCGAACGGGAUUAGAUACCCCGGUAGUC
rnacentral:rRNA from 1 species